GUAGCCCCAAAACCCCACAGAAAAACCCCAAAACCCGUGGAAGUAGCCCCAAAACUACAUGGAGGUAGGCCCAACACCUUGGAGAUAGCCCCAAAACCCAUGGAAGUAGCACAAAACUACAUGGAAGUAGCCCCAAAGCCCAUGGAAGUAGCCCCAAAACCCAUGGAGGUAGCCCCAAAACCCAAUGAAGUAGCCCCAAAACCCCACAGAAAAACCCCAAAACCCGUGGAAGUAGCCCCAAAACUACAUGGAGGUAGGCCCAACACCUUGGAGAUAGCCCCAAAACCCAUGGAAGUAGCACAAAAACCCAUGGAAGUACGACGAAAACCCAAGGAAGUAGCCCCCAAACCCAUGGAAGUAGCCCCAAACCCAUGGAAGUAGCCCCAAACCCAUGGAGGUAGCCCAAAACCCCACAAAAAUACCCCCAAAACCCGUGGAAGUCGCCCCAAAACCCGAGGAAAUAGCCCCAAAACCCAUGGAGGUAGCCCCAAAACCCACAGAAUUAGCCCCAAAACCCACAGAAUUAGCCCCAAACUACAUGGAAGUAGGCCCCAAACCCAUGGAUGUAGGCCCAUAACCCGUGGAAAUAGCCCUAAAACCCGUGGAAGUAGCCCCAAAACCCAUGGAGGUAGCCCAAAACCCCACAAAAAUACCCCCAAACCUGUGGAAGUA